rnacentral:lncRNA from 1 species
CUAGAUCCAUAACUUUCAUCUACAGAUCUAUUGUCCGUCUAAGAAAACAUGGAAACCAAAUAUCUUCCUCUACUACGCUGCUGCCUCUUAAGCAUCCUAUUAUUUCUUGUUCCCAGUUUUUCAUGUGAUGAAAACAAAAACCUCAAAAACAAGAUUUCUUCUUGUUUAAUCCAUCACAGCAUUAAUAACUUCACCUUGUACUCCUCUUCCAGCAAUGGCUCCAACCUCUACUUUGACCUCC